rnacentral:rRNA from 1 species
GAUUGAUGGUUGCUUGCACCUGAUUGACGAGUGGAUUACCAGUGAGUGGCGGACGGUGAGUAACACGUAGGUAACCUGCCCCGGAGCGGGGGAUAACAUUUUUGGAAACAGAUGCUAAUACCGCAUAACAACAAAAGCCACAUGGCCUUUUGUUUUGAAAGAUGGCUUUUGGCUAUCACUCUGGGAUGGACCUGCGGUGCAUUAGCUAGUUGGUAAGGUAACGGCUUACCAAGGCGAUGAUGCAUAGCCGAGUUGAGAGACUGAUCGGCCACAAUGGAACUGAGACACGGUCCAUACUCCUACGGGAGGCAGCAGUAGGGAAUCUUCCACAAUGGGCGCAAGCCUGAUGGAGCAACACCGCGUGAGUGAAGAAGGGUUUCGGCUCGUAAAGCUCUGUUGUUGGAGAAGAACGUGCGUGAGAGCAACUGUUCACGCAGUGACGGUAUCCAACCAGAAAGUCACGGCUAACUACGUGCC